UACGUAGGGGGCAAGCGUUAUCCGGAAUGAUUGGGCGUAAAGCGUCCGCAGGUGGCUGUGUAAGUCUGCUGUCAAAGAACAAAGCUCAACUUUGUAAAGGCAGUGGAAACUACACGGCUAGAGUGCGUUCGGGGCAGAGGGAAUUCCUGGUGUAGCGGUGAAAUGCGUAGAGAUCAGGAAGAACACCGGUGGCGAAGGCGCUCUGCUAGGCCGCAACUGACACUGAGGGACGAAAGCUAGGGGAGCGAAUGGG
rnacentral:rRNA from 1 species